AACGCUAGCUACAGGCUUAACACAUGCAAGUCGAGGGGCAGCAUGGUCUUAGCUUGCUAAGGCCGAUGGCGACCGGCGCACGGGUGAGUAACACGUAUCCAACCUGCCGUCUACUCUUGGCCAGCCUUCUGAAAGGAAGAUUAAUCCAGGAUGGGAUCAUGAGUUCACAUGUCCGCAUGAUUAAAGGUAUUUUCCGGUAGACGAUGGGGAUGCGUUCCAUUAGAUAGUAGGCGGGGUAACGGCCCACCUAGUCAACGAUGGAUAGGGGUUCUGAGAGGAAGGUCCCCCACAUUGGAACUGAGACACGGUCCAAACUCCUACGGGAGGCAGCAGUGAGGAAUAUUGGUCAAUGGGCGAUGGCCUGAACCAGCCAAGUAGCGUGAAGGAUGACUGCCCUAUGGGUUGUAAACUUCUUUUAUAAAGGAAUAAAGUCGGGUAUGCAUACCCGUUUGCAUGUACUUUAUGAAUAAGGAUCGGCUAACUCCGUGCCAGCAGCCGCGGUAAUACGGAGGAUCCGAGCGUUAUCCGGAUUUAUUGGGUUUAAAGGGAGCGUAGAUGGAUGUUUAAGUCAGUUGUGAAAGUUUGCGGCUCAACCGUAAAAUUGCAGUUGAUACUGGAUGUCUUGAGUGCAGUUGAGGCAGGCGGAAUUCGUGGUGUAGCGGUGAAAUGCUUAGAUAUCACGAAGAACUCCGAUUG
rnacentral:rRNA from 1 species